rnacentral:rRNA from 1 species
UACGUAGGGGGCUAGCGUUAUCCGGAAUUACUGGGCGUAAAGGGUGCGUAGGUGGUUUCUUAAGUCAGAGGUGAAAGGCUACGGCUCAACCGUAGUAAGCCUUUGAAACUGGGGAACUUGAGUGCAGGAGAGGAGAGUGGAAUUCCUAGUGUAGCGGUGAAAUGCGUAGAUAUAUGGAAGAACACCAGUGGCGAAAGCGGCUCUCUGGUCUGUAACUGACGCUGAGGUUCGAAAGCGUGGGUAGCAAACAGG